GCGCUAGUAGCUCAGUGUCAGAGCAUCGGUC
rnacentral:tRNA from 1 species